CAUCUGGGGUUUCACAUUCUUUAAAAGAAUGUUGGGUUUUUCAAACCAAUCCCAAAAAAAAGAGAGGAGAAUGUUGGGUUUUUAUUGAUUUGCUUGUAAGGAUUCAGAAAAUUUUAAUUCUUGAUGUGCCAUUUUUUUUUUUAAUAACUGGAGUAUUUCAAAGUUCUAACAGAAGUAGAAGGAGAGAGUUAUUCAAGAAAAAGAGGAUUCAGUGAUGGCUACAAGAGGUUGUGUUCUCCAGAGAAUUUACAGAGGAGAUGGAUGGAAUGAAGGAAAAACCACAAAAGCAUAUGUAUACUUUGAGUUCGAAGAUCAUGUUUUAACCCGUCGUUCUCCAUCCCGAUUUCAUUUCUAUGAGUCCUACAUCAAGUAGGCAGUGGCGGAUAUAGUGUGUUAGCAACGGGUUCAAUUGGGAACCUACAACAACUACAAAUACAGAGGUAGGACUCAUCAAGUAGGCAGUGGCGGAUGUUGAUAAUGGCACCCAAUCAUAAUCAACCUCUUGAUCAAAGACUCUCCCAGCAGGAUCGUCCUGUACUCUGUUGUUUAUAGGCAGCUCUUCCGUUAUGUCCAUUUCAAUCAACGCUCUGGCACACGAGAUCCUUGCUGAAUCAUCAGCAUAUAUAUGCCUCCCUAUUUCCUCUAGCAAUUCUGCUCAAAGUGAUCUUUCCCAAGCAGUUAGGAAAUAUUACCCACAGUGGAAUGGUUUUAGCACUUCGUCAUGAAAGUUAAUCUCAGCAGAUCAAGGCUUCAACAUUACCGGUUUAUUGUUAAGGAUGAUAGGAAAUAUUAAUGGGUAUGUUGUUGUUAAUGGUGUAAGGUCCCGAGUAUAAUACCUCGUUCCUAUCAUCCAUGCUACUGAAGAGUAUAACAAAAUGUCCUACAUGAAAUACUUGAGAUAGACGCUUUUAUUUA